rnacentral:rRNA from 1 species
AGAGCGAACGCUGGCGGCGUGCUUAACACAUGCAAGUCGAGUGCGCGUCUGUAGCAAUACAGAUGGCGCACGGCGCACGGGUGCGUAACACGUGGGCAAUCUGCCCUUCGAUGGGGAAUAACCUCGCGAAAGCGAGGCUAAUUCCGCAUAACAUUCCGAUGAUCUAGGUCAAUGGAUUCAAAGCCGUAAGGCGUCGAAGGAGGAGCCCGCGCACGAUUAGCUAGUUGGUGAGGUAACGGCUCACCAAGGCUAUGAUCGUU